rnacentral:lncRNA from 1 species
UUGCAGUUUUUGCCAACCAUGUGUUUCUAUCCUCAUAAAUCCGUUGAUCCUUUGUAGGAUAGACAUGCCAAUUGUUAAGUACUAUCAACUUGCUACAAUGUGGGUCAAUCCUUACACCAACCAAACAAUCAAUAAAAAACAAGCUUGUAUCAAGCAUCAUAAGGUAUUAUCUCUCUCUCAUCUCUUUCACUAAGCUAAGAUUCUUUGUUUUUUUUCAUAACCAAUAAUCCUUUACUAGCUUCAGCAUUUGAGAGUGAUUGGAGUGUCAAUUCCGAUAUUUUUUUAGUUUAUUUUUUAAUCUUGCAAAUCAAAUCUAGCCCCUUAAAUACCACAAUAAGCUCGAUCCAUGCCGGUUCAAAGAAGACUAACAUUUAGGCGUAUAUGUUAGAAUCAAAUUCAAGACCCCGUGUGUUAAGCAACUAUUUAUUCAGCUUACUAAAUGUAGUAAGCAAAGCAAGGAUGAUAGAUGACGUUGUUCUACCCUAAAUAAUGUAUCUAGUAGUAAUAAAGUAUAGUAUAGAAAUUGCUUCUGAUUCCAAUACCAUUGAGUUUGCGCAUCCGACAUGUCAUCUAUAUGGAUCGGCUGUUUCUUCAUUGAUAUCUCUGACAAAAUCCUAGGCAUAAGAGAGUAUCUUGAUCCCUGACUGCUAAUAAACUGUGCUGGAGCGCACCUAAGAAAGGAAUAAAAUAAAAUCCUACACCAACCUGGAAGAUUUGAACCGGCAAACAACAGAAAUUAAUGACUAAACAAACAAUUUACUGUUCCUAGAAGACUGCACAUGCAUGCUCAAUUUGACUUACUUUCACAGCAAAUCUGAAAGCCAUGUGUCAUACAACCAAAUUCAUUAAAAGAAGCGUUAACACUUUUUUUUUUUCUAAAAGGGGCAGAAAUUAAACAGCAUCAGAGUGCCUAAACGAAAAGGAAAACGUAAAAUACGAAAUGCAGAAGUUGAACCAAGGCGAAAGCUAGGCCAGGGUACAAUGCGACAGCGGAAGAAGAGUGUCCCCGAGCACGAUUGCCUUUUAUAAUAUGGCCUCCUCCUCUGCCUCUGGCGCCGCCACCUUUGCCACCUGCUUUUCCUAGCACCGUUGAUACCAUCAGAGCGAGAGCGAUGCCAAUGACCAUGAGUAUUAGAAUCAUGUUGGCAGACUUCUUAGCUGAUGGGAGCUUGGUCAUCUUCGUUAUCGUAGUUGAGACCUCCAACGCAGCGGCUCUUAAAAUAAAGGGGAAUGUUGCUUAGAAAGAAAGCUGAGUGCAAAAUCAUAUAAAGGAAGGGUAGGCUAUAGCUUUCUUCAUUAGAAAGGGAAAGCAGAAAGCUUUCCUUUAAUAAAUACACCUUAUCAUUUUUCUCAGUUUAUUUCAGAUUCUAGUGAUGUGAGGGAGAAGAAAGAGAAAAAGGUUGCAGUUGCCCGCGUCCAAACGAAGAAAUAUAUACUAUGUAGAUAAAUGGCUGUCAUUUCAGCUGGACUGAGCCCGCUUCUCUAACACAUUUAUGG